rnacentral:rRNA from 1 species
GGGGGCAACCCUGGUGGCGAGUGGCGAACGGGUGAGUAAUAUAUCGGAACGUGCCCUGGAGUGGGGGAUAACGUAGCGAAAGUUACGCUAAUACCGCAUACGAUCUAAGGAUGAAAGUGGGGGAUCGCAAGACCUCAUGCUCCUGGAGCGGCCGAUAUCUGAUUAGCUAGUUGGUAGGGUAAAAGCCUACCAAGGCGACGAUCAGUAGCUGGUCUGAGAGGACGACCAGCCACACUGGGACUGAGACACGGCCCAGACUCCUACGGGAGGCAGCAGUGGGGAAUUUUGGACAAUGGGGGCAACCCUGAUCCAGCAAUGCCGCGUGAGUGAAGAAGGCCUUCGGGUUGUAAAGCUCUUUUGUCAGGGAAGAAACGGUUUGGCCUAAUACGCUGAGCUAAUGACGGUACCUGAAGAAUAAGCACCGGCUAACUACGUGCCAGCAGCCGCGGUAAUACGUAGGGUGCAAGCGUUAAUCGGAAUUACUGGGCGUAAAGCGUGCGCAGGCGGUUAUGUAAGACAGAUGUGAAAUGCCCGGGCCUAACCUGGGAACUGCAUUUGUGACUGCAUGGCUAGAGUGUGUCAGAGGGGGGGUAGAAUUCCACGUGUAGCAGUGAAAUGCGUAGAUAUGUGGAGGAAUACCGAUGGCGAAGGCAGCCCCCUGGGAUAACACUGACGCUCAUGCACGAAAGCGUGGGGAGCAAACAGGAUUAGAUACCCUGGUAGUCCACGCCCUAAACGAUGUCUACUAGUUGUCGGGUCUUAAUUGACUUGGUAACGCAGCUAACGCGUGAAGUAGACCGCCUGGGGAGUACGGUCGCAAGAUUAAAACUCAAAGGAAUUGACGGGGACCCGCACAAGCGGUGGAUGAUGUGGAUUAAUUCGAUGCAACGCGAAAAACCUUACCUACCCUUGACAUGUACGGAAUUCUGCUGAGAGGUGGAAGUGCUCGAAAGAGAACCGUAGCACAGGUGCUGCAUGGCUGUCGUCAGCUCGUGUCGUGAGACGUUGGGUUAAGUCCCGCAACGAGCGCAACCCUUGUCAUUAGUUGCUACGAAAGGGCACUCUAAUGAGACUGCCGGUGACAAACCGGAGGAAGGUGGGGAUGACGUCAAGUCCUCAUGGCCCUUAUGGGUAGGGCUUCACACGUCAUACAAUGGUACAUACAGAGGGCCGCCAACCCGCGAGGGGGAGCUAAUCCCAGAAAGUGUAUUGUAGUCCGGAUUGUAGUCUGCAACUCGACUACAUGAAGUUGGAAUCGCUAGUAAUCGCGGAUCAGCAUGUCGCGGUGAAUACGUUCCCGGGUCUUGUACACACCGCCCGCCACACCAUGGGAGCGGGUUUUACCAGAAGUAGGUAGCUUAACCGCAAGGAGGGCGCUUACCACGGUAGGAUUCGUGACUGGGGUGAAGUCGUAACAAGGUA